CUGGGUUAGUCGGGUCCUAAGCUGAGGCCGACAGGCGUAGGCGAUGGAUAACAGGUUGAUAUUCCUGUACCACCUAUAAUCGUUUUAAUCGAUGGGGGGACGCAGUAGGAUAGGCGAAGCGUGCGAUUGGAUUGCACGUCUAAGCAGUAAGGCUGAGUAUUAGGCAAAUCCGGUACUCGUUAAGGCUGAGCUGUGAUGGGGAGAAGACAUUGUGUCUUCGAGUCGUUGAUUUCACACUGCCGAGAAAAGCCUCUAGAUAGAAAAUAGGUGCCCGUACCGCAAACCGACACAGGUAGUCAAGAUGAGAAUUCUAAGGUGAGCGAGCGAACUCUCGUUAAGGAACUCGGCAAAAUGACCCCGUAACUUCGGGAGAAGGGGUGCUCUUUAGGGUUAACGCCCAGAAGAGCCGCAGUGAAUAGGCCCAAGCGACUGUUUAUCAAAAACACAGGUCUCUGCUAAACCGUAAGGUGAUGUAUAGGGGCUGACGCCUGCCCGGUGCUGGAAGGUUAAGAGGAGUGGUUAGCUUCUGCGAAGCUACGAAUCGAAGCCCCAGUAAACGGCGGCCGUAACUAUAACGGUCCUAAGGUAGCGAAAUUCCUUGUCGGGUAAGUUCCGACCCGCACGAAAGGCGUAACGAUUUGGGCACUGUCUCAACGAGAGACUCGGUGAAAUCAUAGUACCUGUGAAGAUGCAGGUUACCCGCGACAGGACGGAAAGACCCCGUGGAGCUUUACUGUAGCCUGAUAUUGAAAUUCGGCACAGCUUGUACAGGAUAGGUAGG
rnacentral:rRNA from 1 species